GCUAUCUGAACACCAGAUACCAAAGCACCAGCAAGGACACCAGAAAGUGUCUCCACUCCAAAGAAAAUACCAACUAUGAGGGGCGUGAGCAUGACAAGGGCACCUGGUGGAAUCAUUUCCUUGAUAGAUGCAUCAGUCGAAAUCUUAACACAAGUGGCAUAAUCAGGUUUAGCAUGACCUUCCAUGAGACCAGGAAUAGUGUUAAAUUGUCUGCGCACUUCCUCAACCAUCUUCAAAGC
rnacentral:misc_RNA from 1 species